rnacentral:rRNA from 1 species
UACGUAGGGGGCUAGCGUUGUCCGGAAUCAUUGGGCGUAAAGCGCGCGUAGGCGGCCAGAUAAGUCCGCUGUGAAAGUCCAGGGCUCAACCCUGGAAUGCCGGUGGAUACUGUCGGGCUCGAGUCCGGAAGAGGAGAGUGGAAUUCCCGGUGUAGCGGUGAAAUGCGCAGAUAUCGGGAAGAACACCCGUGGCGAAGGCGGCUCUCUGGGACGGUACUGACGCUGAGACGCGAAAGCGUGGGGAGCGAACGAG